CUUUGAAGAAUAGUUGUUUCAGGUAGGACCCGUGGCAGACAUUUGGUGUAUGUGCUUGGAUGAGGAGCCAAUGGGACGAAACUACCAUCUGUGGGAUUAUGACUGAGUGCCUCUAAGUCAGAAUCCCCCCUAAAUGUAACGAUACGGCAGCUCAGUGGAGCCUCGGUUGGCCCCUGAUAGGUGUCCCCUCCCCGCUUCGGGGGAUAGGGUUCGGUGAGGAGAGCCAUUUGUGUUGGGACCGGAGUGCGGAGAGAAGGGAGCCACCUCUAACCCGUUGCAUACCGCCUGUCCAUAGGGAACCUGGUGUUAAAUCAUUCGUAGACAACCUGAUUCUGGGUCAGAGUUUUGUGCGUAGCAGAGCAACUACCUUCCUGCAUUCUACUGAAAGUCAGCCUUUGACACAAGACUUU
rnacentral:ncRNA from 1 species